rnacentral:sRNA from 1 species
GACAGUCGGAGGGAGCCUGAGUAGGACACAGACAGCACUUGGAGCUGCAGCCAUGUAGGAAUUAUUGGGAACUUGGGGCACCAGGAUCAAAUCAGAGCGGGCUUCCCUCCGCUUCCUCCCUCUCCCUCCAGAGGAGGUGGUGGGACACACGCAGGGGCCGCUAGAUGGGAGCCUGUAUGCCAAGGUGAAGAAGAAAGACUCCCCGCACGGCAGCACCGGGGCUGUUAAUGCCACACGUCCUACACUGUCGGCCACCCCCAACCACGUGGAACACACGCUUUCUGUGAGCAGCGACUCGGGCAACUCCACAGCCUCCACCAAGACAGACAAGACUGAUGAGCCUGUCCCCGGGGCCUCCAGUGCCACUGCUGCCUUGAGUCCCCAGGAGAAGCGGGAGCUGGACCGCCUGCUGAGUGGCUUUGGCUUAGAGCGAGAGAAACAAGGCGCCAUGUACCACACCCAGCACCUCAGGUCCCGCCCAGCAGGGGGCUCAGCUGUGCCCUCCUCUGGACGCCACGUUGUCCCAGCCCAGGUUCAUGUCAAUGGUGGGGCGUUAGCAUCUGAGCGGGAGACAGACAUCCUGGAUGAUGAGUUGCCAAACCAGGAUGGUCACAGUGCGGGCAGCGUGGGCACACUGUCUUCUCUGGACGGGGUCACCAACACCAGUGAGGGGGGCUACCCAGAGGCCCUGUCCCCACUGACCAAUGGUCUGGACAAAUCCUACCCCAUGGAGCCUAUGGUCAAUGGAGG